rnacentral:lncRNA from 1 species
ACUUAGGAUCCUGAAGGAUUAAAAAGAGCCUUGGCUUGGGGGCGUCUGAUGAUCCAGGAGCUGGGGUCGUGGAAACAGAAGUGAAGAAAUUGAGACAUGGAAACACAGGAUAACAUCCCGUGUCCAUUCUCAGAAAGACUGUUCUCUGGGAUGUUCCCUAAGAGUCUUCUGGGGAUUCCCCUCUGCAUCCUGCCCACCAUGAUGUUGUUGGACUGUUCUGUGACACUGCACCUUCCCCACCUUGACAGAGUAACGCCUCUGAAAGCAGGAGCCCAAAUCAGUUAAGUUGUUUCCUCAAAUAUUUUGGUUAACUGCGUACAAGUAAUGAGUCAUGUGUCUGGUGUCACACUCACCUCAUGGGUCUGAAUGAAAUCCUCCUGCGUCUGUCUGUCCUCUUUCUGCGCCUUGCUGGGGUUUUGCUAGUGGGAUGAUGUCCUUCUUCCUCUGGGGCCUUUAAGACUCACAUUGUCUGUGAGUUGUCCUUUCUCUCUGUACUUGGACAGUCAGCUACCCAGCCCUGGUCUCUGGGGACCGCCCUUUCUUCUUUGUCUCCAAAGCCAGGGUCCUUCUCCAGUUUCAGGGGCCUAUGAAGACCUAUCGUUAGAACCACAUGAAUCUUCCAGGCACCUUUCUCUUCAUCCUAUAUCACAAAUGAUUACCAAGCGAAUCUUCUAUAUAAAAACAACGGUUCCACCUAUCAUCUAGUCUAGAGCUCUCAGACACAGUUGCGGCUGUGACGUGGACUCCUGUUCUGCUAUCUGUAAUCUUUGUAUGAGAAAAGCCAGGAGCUGUUUCCUUAUGUUUUCUUCUUCUCGGAAUGCUCAGGCCAUCUCUGCUAAUGCAUCCCCCACCCCCUGCCCUACCAGGAGGGGGUCCUCAGUGUAGCUUGCCAAGCCAUGAGCCCACUCUUAAUGGCUUAGACCACGGGUAGACACUUGAUUCAUGGGCAGCCAGCAUAGGCAGCCUGUCAUAAAGAGCUGCCCAUGCAGAACAGCCAGUGCUGGACAGAGGCCAUCGAAUCAAUUUGGGCCUCUCCUGGGAGUCUCAUUCCUGAAGGGAGCCGCUGAGCAGAGUCAGCGAGGGGCUGAGGAGGAGUCACCCAACCCAGAGUGACAGCCUUAGGGGCAGUGAGAUAACGUUGCUAGACGAACUGUCCUGAAUGAUCUCACCGGGCACUGGCUGUGCCUUUUGGUUUCUAUAGUCUGAUGUUUUGACAUCUUGGGGGCCUUCCUGACUGACUCUGGAGGGGGGACAUCUGGAUACCUUACUGACUGACUCUGGAGGGGGGACAUCUGGGGGCCUUCCUGACUGACUCUGGAGGGGGGACAUCUGGGGGCCUUCCUGACUGACUCUGGAGGGGGGACAUCUGGGGGCCUUACUGACUGACUCUGGAGGGGGAAGUCAUAGGGGAAGUAGCUAAUUGCCUCUUCUCUCCCACUCCAGCAUGGCUCUCAGAUGUAAACCAACCAGAGCCCCUGCCCUGCCCACCUCCUUUCCUGACUUCUCUUUCUCACAGAUACACUCCACCUUCCUCCAUCACUGCUAGUCCAGGUACCCAGCUCAGGGUAGUCCCUAGAGCCCAGACUUAAGAAGCAUAAUUUUCACCUAAGCUGAGCCUGCUUACUCUUCCAUGACCACUCCCUCCCACAAUGCCCAGUGACGCCCUGUACCCUUCUUCCUCCUCCCUCCUGACCAGGUGCUACCCUCGUGGUGCCCUGGGGUAUAGCAUGGUCCUUAUUCUUGGAACUGAAUGACCUGUCUUGUCAACAGCAGCUGCCUCCUGGUCUGCUGACCUCAUUUCUAAAAUCGGCAGAUUCUGCGUGACUCACUCAUCUCUGUGGAGUCUGGCUGUGUGGUUGUUCCUGUUUGAGGCAGGGCCAGGGCUCUUCCUGCCUUACCCUAGGUAAAUGCACUGAAUACGACCUGUCUCACUUCAGUGGGUUGUUAGUUCUUCUUUAGAUCAGAUCUUUACCGGUUGUUUCACCCCCUUUCUUUACGGAGCUCCCCACUCCGCGUGCUCUUCACAGGCAAGCAUGCUGGCUUUCUUUAUAAAUAGCCUUAAAUAUGUUCUUGUCCCCUGUUUCUGGUCAUGAGGCCAUCCUUCGGACAACUCCUGCCUUCCCCGUGCCUAAAACUACUCUCUUUCUCCGAGGUCUCACAUUCAGACGUCCUAUGACGGCUUCUGUAACCUCAUGCGCCUCUCUCUCUGCACAUCAGCAUCACCCAUGUGUGGGUUUUGAUCCCACCACAGAGCAUCCAGUGUUCCCUGCUUUGUGUUCGGGAAUUCUCUCUCCUCAGGGUUAUAUGCACUCUCAGUUCAGGAGACAGACGUUUUGCUUGAUGAUAGGACGCACUGGUAUCUAAGCAACUGACAUCUUUCUUCUCCUCAAGCCGGGGUAUAAAAUCCACACAUAGAGCAACAGUUGCUACCUGUUGAGCCAGAGCCUGGCUGGAGGGGAAGCCCCAUUUUAUCUCCAUUCUGAGUGCCCGGAAGGCCAGCCCCCAGCUUUCUUAAGUGGAGAGAACGUCAUUAAUUUCCUAAUGGGUCAUACUUGGGGAAAGACUGGAGUUUCUUCAUUUUAGUGUCAGGCCAGUAAGGGGUUGCAAAGUACAGAGUAAGGAAUGCGGGUAAAGCAAGAGGGAUUGGCCCACCAGUGGGAUUUGAGGACUGUCUCUUACAUGGAGGCUGGGAUGGGGAGACUGGAGCAGAAGCCGAGGCAAUCAAACACGCCCCUCACAGUUUUGAUCUGGCUCUAACCUGUUUGAAAGGAAAACAUCUGGCUUGUCUUCCACAGGAGUUGACCCUGAUGUAAAUGGGUAAAGGAUUUCAGGGCACAUUCCUGAUAGUUCCCUGAGGGACUUCCUAACAAAGGGGUGGAGCCAAGUAGCUCUUGGAAUGGUCUCCCAUCGUAGACAUUGCACUUAGAGUUUGAGCUAUACGAAUAAUUCAGAUGAUACACUGUAAGCCCUAAAUAUACCUUAAGCCCACAAACAACUCUCCUUUGUCCAGCUUUAUGCCUGUGUUCCUUUAAAUGGACUUUCUGUUCCUGACCGCACUGUAAUCAGCAGAUAUCCCUACCGUCCCCCCAUUCCCUCCUCCUCCCUUAAAACGGCUCCUUCUAAUAGCUAGCAUCCUGCAGUGACCAAAGCCAUUAGAAGGAUUGCACCAUUACUAUCCUGUCCAGCACACACAUAAUGCCCCAGGGAUUGCCUUUCUUCUUCUUUGCUUGAUGCUUUUUUGUGGAUGAAAUCGGGGCCCAAUGGUGGGCUGAAAAAAAUAAAAAACCGAAGAGGGCAGAAGGUGACAGUAAUUCGUUUCAAGGGCACCUCCCAAACUGCUUUCCCCACUUGAGAUUCCUUUGUGAAGGUGACGGCAGAUGUCAGCCUUGUGGAUAAAGCAGGCUCUGAAAGCACGCGGACAGGUUGCAGACCUCUGUUCCUCGUUACCAUAAUAUUGAAUGCUCAUCUUUUCCCAAGCACGACAGCGAAUAUGUGCUCUGCCUGCUAGCUCACUGUUGUUUGUGCUGGAAAGAACCCGGGCCCAGCCCAGAGCCACGUUGCAGGGCUCAGGACUGCUCUGAAACACUGCCACCUAGUGGCAUGAUGAGGGUUGUAGCUCAGGAAUCCUGGGAGAAGCAUGGAAGAAUCUUCUAGCAUGUGGGGACUCUCGGGACCCAAGAGGGAGAGCAACUCCUAAAGACAUGGAGGCUUCUAGUACUUCAGGACAGACAAUGGGUCUGAAAUUCUUGCUUGGGGCCAUAUGGAUUGGCCGCGCAGGGAGGAAAUUAUAUUCAGCUUUCUGUUUCUGCUCAACUCUUUACACUGGAUGUCAUCCACCUGGGGAUGUCAAAAGAGAAAAUACAGGGCGCUGGGCAGAUGGCUCAGUGGCUAAGAGCACUGACAGCUCUGGCAGACAAGCCAGGUUCCGGCCCUGCUUGAGUUCCUGUCCUGACUUCCUUCAAUGAUGAACAGCAAUGUGGAAGUGUAAGCCAAAUAAAUCAUUUCUUCCC